GCCCUGGUGGUGAAAUUGGUAGACACAAGGGACUUAAAAUCCCUCGACGUUCGCGUCGUGUCGGUUCAAGUCCGGCUCGGGGCA
rnacentral:tRNA from 1 species